AUUGAACGCUGGCGGCAGGCCUAACACAUGCAAGUCGAGCGAGCGGCGGACGGGUGAGUAAUGUAUGGGGACUGCCCGAUAGAGGGGGAUAACUACUGGAAACGGUGGCUAAUACCGCAUACUAUCGGAUAACCCAUAUGGGAUUAGCUAGUAGGUGGGGUAAAGGCUCACUUAGGCGACGAUCUCUAGCUGGUCUGAGAGGAUGAUCAACCACACUGUGACUGGUACACUGCCCAGCGUCCUACGGAGGCAGCAGUGGGACAUAUUGCACAAUGGGCGCAAGCCUGAGGCAGCCCUGCCGCGUGUAUGAAGAAGGCCUUAUGGUUGUAAAGUAAUUUCAUCGGGGAUGCGUUACCCGCAGAAGAAGCACCGGCUAACUCCGUGCCAGCAGCCGCGGUAAUAC
rnacentral:rRNA from 1 species